UAUUGGGCAAUGGGCGCAAGCCUGACCCAGCAACGCCGCGUGGAGGACGAAGGCCUUCGGGUUGUAAACUCCUUUUUGGGGGGAAAAGGACGGAUGGUACCCCCAGAAUAAGUCACGGCUAACUACGUGCCAGCAGCCGCGGUAAUACGUAGGUGACGAGCGUUAUCCGGAAUUACUGGGCGUAAAGCGCACGCAAGCGGCUGGACAAGUCUGGCGUGAAAUCCUCUGGCUUAACCAGGGGCGGUCGCUGGAGACUGUUCAGCUUGAGGCGAUGAGAGGGGUGCAGAAUUCCCGGUGUAGUGGUGGAACGCGUAGAUAUCGGGAGGAAUACCAGUGGCGAAAGCGGCACCCUGGCGUCGUACUGACGCACAUGUGCGAAAGCGUGGGGAGCGAAC
rnacentral:rRNA from 1 species